CGCGGGAGGAGACCGGGACUCCGCUGUGCCUCGGAGGGGGCCCCCGCGCCCGGUCCCGCCGCUCUUAGCCCCGGUCCGCUGUGUCGGUCAGAGGUGGCCCGGGGGCCGCCGGCUGGAGGUAGAGCCGAAGAAGGAUCUGCAGCCUUGGAGAGAUAGCCCUGCUGCUUCCACGUUCACAUGAGGUUGCCUGGGCUGGGGAAUCUUUAAGCUGAAGGGCAGUAGUGCUGCUGAAACUUGGGUGUCUGGCU